AGAGUUUGAUCCUGGCUCAGGAUGAACGCUAGCUACAGGCUUAACACAUGCAAGUCGAGGGGCAGCAUGAACUUAGCUUGCUAAGUUUGAUGGCGACCGGCGCACGGGUGAGUAACACGUAUCCAACCUGCCGAUGACUCGGGGAUAGCCUUUCGAAAGAAAGAUUAAUACCCGAUGGCAUAGUUCUUCCGCAUGGUGGAACUAUUAAAGAAUUUCGGUCAUCGAUGGGGAUGCGUUCCAUUAGGUUGUUGGCGGGGUAACGGCCCACCAAGCCUUCGAUGGAUAGGGGUUCUGAGAGGAAGGUCCCCCACAUUGGAACUGAGACACGGUCCAAACUCCUACGGGAGGCAGCAGUGAGGAAUAUUGGUCAAUGGACGAGAGUCUGAACCAGCCAAGUAGCGUGAAGGAUGACUGCCCUAUGGGUUGUAAACUUCUUUUAUAUGGGAAUAAAGUGUUCCACGUGUGGGAUUUUGUAUGUACCAUAUGAAUAAGGAUCGGCUAACUCCGUGCCAGCAGCCGCGGUAAUACGGAGGAUCCGAGCGUUAUCCGGAUUUAUUGGGUUUAAAGGGAGCGUAGGCGGACGCUUAAGUCAGUUGUGAAAGUUUGCGGCUCAACCGUAAAAUUGCAGUUGAUACUGGGUGUCUUGAGUACAGUAGAGGUAGGCGGAAUUCGUGGUGUAGCGGUGAAAUGCUUAGAUAUCACGAAGAACUCCGAUUGCGAAGGCAGCCUGCUGGACUGUAACUGACGCUGAUGCUCGAAAGUGUGGGUAUCAAACAGGAUUAGAUACCCUGGUAGUCCACACAGUAAACGAUGAAUACUCGCUGUUUGCGAUAUACAGUAAGCGGCCAAGCGAAAGCAUUAAGUAUUCCACCUGGGGAGUACGCCGGCAACGGUGAAACUCAAAGGAAUUGACGGGGGCCCGCACAAGCGGAGGAACAUGUGGUUUAA
rnacentral:rRNA from 1 species